rnacentral:tRNA from 1 species
GGGCCCAUAGCUCAGUUGGUUAGAGCUGCCGGCUCAUAACCGGCUGGUCCCUGGUUCGAGUCCAGGUGGGCCCACCA